rnacentral:rRNA from 1 species
UAGGGAAUCUUCCGCAAUGGACGAAAGUCUGACGGAGCAACGCCGCGUGAGUGAUGAAGGUUUUCGGAUCGUAAAGCUCUGUUGUUAGGGAAGAACAAGUACCGUUCGAAUAGGGCGGUACCUUGACGGUACCUAACCAGAAAGCCACGGCUAACUACGUGCCAGCAGCCGCGGUAAUACGUAGGUGGCAAGCGUUGUCCGGAAUUAUUGGGCGUAAAGCGCGCGCAGGUGGUUUCUUAAGUCUGAUGUGAAAGCCCCCGGCUCAACCGGGGAGGGUCAUUGGAAACUGGGAGACUUGAGUGCAGAAGAGGAAAGUGGAAUUCCAAGUGUAGCGGUGAAAUGCGUAGAGAUUUGGAGGAACACCAGUGGCGAAGGCGACUUUCUGGUCUGUAACUGACACUGAGGCGCGAAAGCGUGGGGAGCAAACAG